ensembl:lncRNA
UGGGAAGCGGAGGGGACGCGGGUGGUGGGGAGGAGCACGGAGCUCCGCCGCCGCUCGGCACCUCCCGCAUCAGCGGGGCGAUUUCAAAAUCAACUGUUAAAAUUUUAAACGUAGCUUGAGUGUGCAUAAUCUGUUUUUCAGUAAUCACAAGGACUCCAAACAGCUUUGCUUCUGCAGAGCCAGGGCUCAGGAGGAGCCUACAACUUCCCUGCAUAUUUGAAAUGAGAAAAACCGUUCCCGUGUCCAAUGAAACAGAGACCGUGCUGCUGAACGUCAAGCUGCUGCUGCCUGUGACUGGAGCAGAAGGUGCUCAAAAGCCUUGGACAGAAAGCCUUCCUGCAGACAGCCUGCCCUCGUUCAUUGUACAAGAGCCCUCGGUGAAUAUUCUGCAGCACACAGAUGAGGAUAUCAACAUGCUUGACUGCAGGAUCAGCCCUUACUUUACAGCCAACACUCAGAUCCUCUGGCCUGGGAGGGAGGUUCGAGCCUACAGCCUGGACACCUGGUUCACUUGCACCAUAAAGCACACAGCUGGGAAAUACACAGCUACAGCCUUCCUUGUGCAAAGCCACGAGGACAGAGAGCACCAAACUCCAGGACAGCUUCAUCAGGGCAUCGCAGAGCAGACACGCGUGUCAGGUAAUGCUUCUCUGGGGAACAUCAUACAUUCCUAAUGAAGGAAGGGGGUGGGGAAGGGGGGGUUGGAGCACAACUAUCAGACCUGCAGGCUAUGAAGGUAAUUAGCAAGCAACUACCACUGAGCUGUUUCAGCUGUGUCCCAAACUGCACCCCAAGCAGCAAGCCAGAGUCAUUUACAUAGGGAUUAUGUAGAGGGAAACCACCUGUUCCUCUCCAGCUACGCUGGGGUGCUAUGAACUCCCAGCCUGGCUUUCUGUGUCCCACCAGUUGUUGCUUAAUGUCACCACCCAGACACUUCUCUUCUGGGCUUACAGACCUCAGACUAUUUUUUACCAGCCCCAUAAGUUUACAGAUAGCUCAACAUAAUAUUUUAGCAACUGUAAGGCAAAAUGCAUUUACUGAAAAGCAUAUGCUUUCCCUUGUGUUAAGAGCUGUGCACACAUUGCAGAAAUGAAUAACUUCAAAGCAGCUUUUCAAAAGCAUAACUGUUUUCUGUUUACAUAGUUCUAUACCAUCGUCUCUAAGAGCCCUAACAGCAAAUACAGAAGCCACCAAGGCUUUAACACAGACACAAGUUAAGGCUGAUCUGAGCUUUUCAGCAGGCAGAGCACUUCCACAGUGUUUGCACUGGAAGCACAACCCACAGCGUGAGCUGCUUGCUGAGCUGAGGGAGAAGGCUCCAGAGAAGGAGCAGAAAGCAAUUGGUAUCUGCCAGAGGGCUGCAGCCUCAUCCGGACAACAAAAGGCGCUCCGGGUCCAGCCUGCAGACUGUCGUUACUGAACCGCACCCUGCCAGGGCUCGCCCUUAGCUGAGCACAGAUAAGCGGCUGCAGCGUUUAAAAAUAGGGAGACCGGGACUCCACAGUCUAACAGUGGGGACACACCACGAGGCACCGCAGCAGAGGGCAGCACUGCCUGCUGAAGGGAGCCAAGAACACAGCACAAGCACUCACACCCCCAGAUGCUCCCCUCACCCCACGUCGCCCCUCCCCCUUAGGAAAAAAUAAGUUUUCAUUUUUUACUCACCCCAUCAUA